GACGAACGCUGGCGGCGUGCCUAAUACAUGCAAGUAGGACGCAGUUGCGAACGGGUGAGUAAAGCGUAGGUAACUACCUAUUAGAGGGGGAUAACUAUUGGAAACGAUAGCUAAUACCGAAUACUCGUAGAUGGACCUGCGUUGUAUUAGCUUGUCGGUAGGGUAAUGGCCUACCUAGGCAACGAUACAUAGCCGACCUGAGAGGCGGAUCGGCCACAUUUGUCAUGAGACAAGGCCCAGACUCCGACGGGAGGCAGCAGUAGGGAAUCUUCGGCAAUGGGGGGAACCCUGACCGAGCAACGCCGCGGGAGUGAAGAAGGUUUUCGGAUCGUAAAGCUCUGUUGUUAAGGAAGCGGUACUUAACCAGAAAGGGACGGCUAACUACGUGCCAGCAGCCGCGGUAAUAC
rnacentral:rRNA from 1 species